AUUGAACGCUGGCGGCAUGCCUUACACAUGCAAGUCGAACGGUAACGCGGGGCAACCUGGCGACGAGUGGCGAACGGGUGAGUAAAGCAUCGGAACGUGCCCAGUAGUGGGGGAUAGCCCGGCGAAAGCCGGAUUAAUACCGCAUACGACCUACGGGUGAAAGGGGGGGAUCGCAAGACCUCUCGCUAUUGGAGCGGCCGAUGUCAGAUUAGGUAGUUGGUGGGGUAAAGGCCUACCAAGCCUGCGAUCUGUAGCUGGUCUGAGAGGACGACCGGCCACACUGGGACUGGGACACGGCCCAGACUCCUACGGGAGGCAGCAGUGGGGAAUUUUGGACAAUGGGCGCAAGCCUGAUCCAGCCAUGCCGCGUGCGGGAAGAAGGCCUUCGGGUUGUAAACCGCUUUUGUCAGGGAAGAAAAGCCUUGGGUUAAUACCCUGGGGUGAUGACGGUACCUGAAGAAUAAGCACCGGCUAACUACGUGCCAGCCGCCGCGGUAA
rnacentral:rRNA from 1 species